CUCUCUUUCUCACUCUCUCUCUUGCUUUCUCGCUCUCUCUCUCUCUCUCUCGGGUUCUACAGGAGGGUUUCCGUUCAGAAGCCAGCGCCGUCGUCUUCUCGCCGGUGAGUUUGUCUUUACAACUUCUAGGCUCCAUUAAUCUCUCUCUCUCUCUGUAACCCUCGCUAGUUUCUAACCCAAACCAUAGUUCUCUGUUUUUGAAACAAAUUAGUGUAUAUGAGGUUGAGUUUCUUCUCUCCGUCAUUAUGGUAAUUUAAUGAAUCAAAAGCAUAUAUAAUCCACAGCCUUUAUAUUGCGCAGAUAGAAAAAACUUACACCAAAUAUUUAGGCAUUAUCUUCUGUGGGUGUGUUGUGUAGAUUGAAUGAUGCACCUUCCAAUUUGAUGUUAACAAAGUACAUAAAUCAUCUUCAGUUGUUGAGCUUCAAAACAAAAAAAAAUCUCGGUAAGUUAUGUGGAGUCCAAGAAGAAAAAAUAAAAUAAAAUCACCUCAAUCGGGGAGCACCUUCCAAUUAUUAUUCUGCUUUCUAGUUGUUCCAUUCAUCCCUCUAGCUUUUAUAUAUAUAUAUAUAUAUAUAUAUAUAUAUAUCUUGGUGAUUUGAAGCCACAGGACAGUUGAAUUUUGUUUGCUUGGGGAAUGGGGGUGUUGAAACAUUUAAAAAUGACAAUCUUCUUCCCAAUCAAUACAGCCUUUUAUAUAAUAAUGAUAUAAGGUAGCCCUGGAGAAAAAAGAAAAAGAAUGGUCAUUAUUCAGAAGCAAUACAACGAAGUCAAUAAUCUAAUUCAGUACAUAUUGGUUUUUUAAUUUUUUUGGAGCAUGUUGCUGACUCUAAACCCUCAAAUUAACAGUAGUAUAUAUAUAUAGUCCCCAAAAUUUUCAUUUGCAUGUUGGGUUUGCUGAGGUGUGUGUCUGCAUUAUGCAUGCCAGGCCUAGUACUGGAUUUAGCAUAUAUUUAAGAUAGAAUAAUGUCAACACAGGUGCUCUCCAGAUCUAGAGAAUUUUUUUUAGAUUGGGGUGGUAUAUCAUGUAGCUAGGGAAUGAGCUCGGAGAUAUAUUUCAUAUUAUUUUAUACCAUUUGAAUAUUUAUAUAUAGGUGUAAUAGGUUACUAAUUAACUAGGCUAUGCAUUAUUAACUUUCUCAGCAAUCUUAAGUUAAUCUUAAGUUAGAAAGCAGAGCAUCACACCCAGUUAAAAGCUUCCUGAUUCCAUGCUGGGAGAUGAGUUCCAUAAUUCCCUUCUCAAUGCUAUCCAUUUCUAUAUAUAUAGGUUCUCCUGCCCGUAUCUAUAUUAAAACUCAGCAAUGCAAAAACAUAUUGAUCACAAGAAAGAAAGAAAGAAAGAAAAUGAUCCCCUUGAUGUAAGACCACCACUCCUGCCAUUAAAAAAAUUCAGGAACAAAUUUUACCCAAAUUCAGUUUUCAUUAGGAUUCUUCCACUUAUCUCUACCUCUUUUAGUAAUUCUUCUGUUGGAGAUGCCUUCUGAAACCUAUUAAACAUUUUUUUAACUCCUCCAGAUUCAAUGCAUAGUUGAGAUAUGGGUUUACUUAAGAUGUUCAGCUUGUGUGCCUACCAACUAUAUUUGCAGUAAUGAAGUGUUUCCUAUGCAUUACACUGCCUUCAAUCUCUACCAAAUCAUAAUUAAUGUAUCAAACUGCGUCUCUCAUUACUGGAUGCCAGUCAUUCUUCAUACAAUUUAAGAUCAUCAUUUUCUGCAAUUUUCUGUAAAUUGCAGAAAAUCCUGUUGUAUGUUUAUAAACAUCAUUUUAGAUGUAAAGCAUGGGAAACAUCCACAUGAAAAUCCUGUACAACUGCUUAUAACUUUCAGAGGAAUUUGGAUGGUGUACUCAUUUCAUAUACUCAUUUUAAAACUAUCCUUUUGAGAUGCUAGCAGAUCAUGUACAUGAACACCGGACUGAUGGAAGCUUUUUCCAGGUGCAAAAUGAUGCCUUCCUGCCACCUUAUUGACUUCCAAGAAUCCAUAUAUAUUGCAUCCUUCACCUUCUUCGUCUUUAAUCCUUUGUAGAAAACCUUCUCUUUUGCACUGAUUGUCACAUGUUAUUGGUAUUAUAUAUAAUACAUCUUGCACUAUCAACACUAAAGUAUUCAUUAUCCUUUUUAUGGAUACAUAUUUAUUAUCUAAUGCAAAUAUUGCAUUGAUCAAAUUAUAAUGUCCCAAUUAGAUAGUUGAACAGGUAAUAGUUGCAUGUUUCUAAUUAAUUCAGCAAAGCAUAAUAUUUAUCUUAUUUAGUUAAUUACUAACCAAAACAUUUAUCAUAUAAUAUUAUAUAUUACAUGCAUGGUUUCCAUAUUUCCGACCACAUGAAUAUAUUACAUGCAUGGUUUCCAUAUUUACUGUAAAAGCAAGCUUUUUGGUCAAUAAUUUAAGUCCAGAAAAACCAGAUUGAAGAUUAUUAAUUAUCAAAUUUUCAGCUAAUUAAGAUUUAAGAUCCUUGUAUUUAUAAGACUAUUAUCCAAUUAAAAAUGAGUCAUUAUUAUAUGAGAGAUACAACAGAAGAAGGUAUCCAAUGUUAAGACAACUUAACAACAACACCUGUGCAGGGACUGACCCCAAAAGAUUACACGUACAUAUCUGUAUAAUUAAAUUACUGGUAGUUGUCACAGUAAGCUCAAAUUAUGUUAUUGGAACUUCCAUUUGUAGGAGCUUUCUCCUCCUUUCAUAUUAUUUUUGCUUUCGCUGUCCAAUUUACGAUUAAUGAUCUCUUGGGUGUCAAUGUAUGUUAAUUCACUGUCACCUCAUGAUGUCUUCAUCUCAUUAAUCCACUUACUAGCAAAACAGUUGAAUAUAAUGGAAUUUGGGUGCUUCUUCUUUCCGAGAUUCAUGGGUUUGGAGAUGGGUUUUUGAAGUAGCUAGGCAACCAGUAUUGAAUACCAAAAUUUACAUUGGUGGUUGUUUGAUAUAUUUAUAAUUCCUCCUACAUUUAUUAUUGCUCAUUGGUUUUCCAAAUGUGAAGGGAGAAAAGCUAGUAGGCAUUAGGUGGUUCUAGACCUAGACUAGCUGAUCAGCUAGCUAUUGCAUGCACAACUCGGUUCUUACUAAUGGCUUACUCUUUAGUCUUAUAUCAUUAUUAUUUUACUUCUCUGCUUUAUCUCCUUCUCUUAUAUCAUUAUUAUUAUUUUUUGAAUAAUUCUAUUUAAAAGCCUUUACACCCAACAUUAUCUAUGUUGCAUAUUAUAAUUUAGAUAGGACUCAGAUGAUUACCUAGGGGAUUGAAAUCUACUAACGAGACAAGUUUGACCAGCAAGUUCUCCAAAAAGCUCAUGAGACUUUAUUCCAAGAUAGACUCAAGCAAUGCAUGGAGCCAAAAGUACCUGAGAUUUGCCAUUUAAUAUAUACUCGAAAUACUUGUGAGACAUGACUCAAGCAACUUCUGUCAAGAGCAUUGGACACGGUUCCAUAGAAUGUUUUAGAGCAUUUUCAAAUCUCCAAGCAAAGAGAGAAAUUUGUAUAGAAAAAAAAAUCCCCUGUUUUACUGAUUGAGAAUACUAAUAUAAAAUUUCUAACUUGCUGCAGAAUUCACAUGCUUGAGGACUUGUUCUCAUCGGUAUCUUAUUUAUUCCAUGUCUUGGAAGAGUGAAUGUUCUCUGAUGGCUCAAGUAUAAAGUUCCAUAUCAACAUCUAUGUGGUUUUUUCUUAUUACGGAUUGGAAGAAGUUGGAAAUAUAUAUCAUACAAAGAAUUUACUAGCUUCUUCUCUGAUGGCUUAAAUAUGGACCCUAUAUCAAUAUCUAUGUGGUUUGUUUAUUUAUUUAUUAAGUAUUGAAAAAAGUGCACAUUAUAUUUUUCUUUACAUAUGAGAGGAGUUCCUUAAUCUUAAGAGAAAAGAUGUAAUAAGUAUGUGUGGUUGUAUAGUUUUGGGUUCAAUACAUGUGCAGACACAGACUUUCAUAUUUGUUUUUCAGCAGGGACUGUUUUUCAAUAGGGAUUUUUUUGGGUUUUUCAGCAAGGACUUCUCAUAUUUGGAAGAGUAGAUUGAACCAAGAUAUCAAGAAAUAUAGAGCAAAAACAUCUCAGAAGCUGUCAAAGAUGAAAUCAAAGUUAAACCCAUAUAGAAAGAAUUCCACUUGUAAAUUCAUAUUCCAUUGUGACAUGUAUGGUAUUUUGUAGAACUUAAAACAAUGAUAGUGGUGAAUUUUAAACAUGUACAUUGAGGUUAUAUGAUUCAUAUUGGCAAGCAAAUAUAAAUUUCUCCCAA